rnacentral:rRNA from 1 species
GAGCUAACAACUAUUAUUGGUAACAAGGUACGCCAGGGAUAACAGGUUAAAGAUUAAACACAGCUCAAAUGUAUUUAAUCUAUUGACACCUCCAUGUCGUCUCACCAUACC